GGUGUUUCUAUCUGAUGGUGGUUCUAUCUGAUAGUAGUUAUAUCUGAUGGUGGUUCUAUCUGAUGGUGGUUCUAUGUGAUGGUGGUUCUAUCUGAUGGUGGUUCUGUGUGAUGGUGGUUCUAUCUGAUGGUGGUUCUAUGUGAUGGUGGUUCUAUCUGAUGGUGGUUCGGUGUGAUGGUGGUUCUAUGUGAUGGUGGUUUUAUCUGAUGGUGGAUGGUGGUUGUCCCUGCAGUGGUCCUGCUCCACACCUGGUCACUGCUCUCUA
ensembl:lncRNA